ACACAUUUUAAGAUUUUUUCCGGCACGGCACACCUCGAUUUAUUCUCACCAAAAGAUUUCUAAAUUAGCUAAUGAGGGCCAUAAAUGACUUAACUAAAGUGGCAAGAGGUACUUAAUUAAUCUUAAGGGUCUACAAGAAAUAAAUUGUCACAAUUAAAAAAAUCGGUAUUUGGGGACCUGGGAUAAAAUCAGACCUAAGAGAAAAAGUAUGUGAAAAAAAUCACCCAAAUAACUUAACCAUAUCGACUGGGCCAAUAUUAAACCCAGCUCCAAAAAGUUCCAAAGAAACAAAGCAUUCAAACCAUGUUUCACAGGUUAUUUUAAUCACACAAAUUAUGAAGCAAGAACAUGAUACUAAAGCUGGAAUGAAUCGCCUAUAUUAUUAUUAACAUGACACUCAAAGCCCUAAUAUCAUUUAUAUUAAUCAAUCAUAACAACUCAAAAUCACACAAAACAUGUUGUUUAAGAAGGAGGAUUUCGACUAACUUCAAUUUUCAGGGCCAAAACAAACUAAAAAAUGAUUAAGGACUACUAAUAUUACUACCAUUGGUUGUGAACUGAAAAUUUUACCUUCAAAUUCCAUCAUAUCCCAAUAAUGGCUACAUGAACUAUUAUGAUUGCUGAAAAUACCCAAAUCACUACCUAGAACUUACUAAGAUGAUCAUGAUCUAUCACAUGUACACUAAAUUAAUGCUAAAUAUCCAAACCAUCAUGUUUACACAACAAAACCAAACGACUAAGCUAGAUAAAAUAGAAGUAGCAUACACGUGAGACUAUAGAUUUAACAUAUUGAACACUCAAAUUACAUCGUGAAGAACACAUUCUUUAUAGCUUCAACUUUGAGCUUCACAUACAAAAGAGUCCAAAGAGGUACCUGGAGACAGAAAAUAGAGCAAAAGAAAAGUGAGAGAAUCAGCAGCAAAAGAAGACGCGCUUCAACAGAUCAACACAACAAUUUGACUUCCUUAAACCAUUUUAACCCAGAUGAACCAGAUAUCUCAAAGUUUUGAACACUUGGACCAAUAAUGGAAAUCAAAGAACAGAGCCAAGGCAAGUUUAAAACCAAAAUACAGAAAAGGUUUUAGUCGUUCUUUUAGAGUCUGGAAAGCUUCUUCAAAAUGAAUGAAAGAGAUCCUUUUACAAGCAGUCUGAGGCAGCCCUAGCCUGACUAAAUAUUUCCUCUUUUACCCUCCCAGUUCAUGGUUAUUUUACCUCCUUAAACCCCUAACAAUAUCUAAAAAUUCUCUCUCUUUAACCAACCAGCCAAACCUUAUCCUCUAGAAGCUUCUAUGCCAACAGAAUAAUAUUUUCUAAGUUUCAAAAUACCCAGAUUAACCCUCUACCCCCUACAAAUUUACAUUAAGAAAAUCACAUGGGUCAAGUUCGCCUAAAACCCAAACCCAAAAGGAACUGGUUUCUUGAACCGGGUCGGUGGUGACCAAAACAAAGCCCACAUCCAAAACUUAUAUCAAACAAUUAGGCAUUUGAAAUUCAAACUCUGACCCAAACUACACUAUGGGUAAAUUGAAGAGAAAAAACAAAGAAGAAAGGAGCUGGAAUAAAGGAAAAUAAUUUUGAUGAUCCUUAAUAAGCUGAGCAAUAGUUCAAAAUUAAUGACUAACCCGGCCAAAAUAAAAAUCAAAUAGCAAAAUCAUGAUGAAACAAUUAAUCCUAAUCAUGCAUCCAAAUAGUUAGAAAUGUUGAUUAUAAGUAAACAAAAACUAAUUCACACCAAACAAACAAGAAUCUGAAAGACGGGCACAAUAAAGGAAGAAGGAAUGGUACUGGUUUUAACCAAAAUAAAUUGACGAAGGCGACGAACUUGGUGGGCGUCCAUGGUAUGGUCGCAGACUGGUAAUUCCCGGAGGGAGCCAAAACUACCUAAAUCCAUUGUUCUGAGCGAUAACAAUCAACUAACGUAAGUCUUGAGUCAAAUCAGGCCUCGGAGACAUGAAAAUUGACGUUAGGGAUGACUUAGAUUUUUUGAAUUCUCAAAUUUAGAAUUGAAGAGAGAAGGUGGGGAUUCUGGGGAAUCUCGUGUUGCCUUCAAGUUCAAUGGGGUUUAUGGGUUGUGGGGGAGGGAUUUGAAGGUAUUUGGUAGUGGUUUGAGGGUGGCGCCGCCGGCUCGAUGCGGUGGAAAACUAAGGCGGCUCUAGGGUUUGAGCGUCUCUGAAAGUGAGGGGGUGAGAGAGACGAGUGAAAAGGGGGGUUAGGGAUUCAGACACUUAAGUAUUAAGGACAAACCAGUUCCAAC
rnacentral:lncRNA from 1 species